CAGAGUUGCAAAACUCCCCAAACCAUUGUGAACCUUACCUUCUACCGUUGCUUCGGCGGGCGGGCCACAGCGCCCCCCGGGCCCCCUCGGGGGCGCCCGCCGGAGGAUAACCAAACUCUUGAUAUUCGUGGCCUCUCUGAGUCUUCUGUACUGAAUAAGUCA
rnacentral:misc_RNA from 1 species